GAUGAACGCUGGCGGCGUGCCUAAUACAUGCAAGUCGAGCGAACGGACGAGAAGCUUGCUUCUCUGAUGUUAGCGGCGGACGGGUGAGUAACACGUGGAUAACCUACCUAUAAGACUGGGAUAACUUCGGGAAACGGGAGCUAAUACGGGUUAUUAUUUUGAACGGCUGGUUUGAAAAGUGAAGGACGGUCUUGCGGUCCCUAUUAGAUGGAUCCGCGCUGCUUUAGCUAGUUGGUAAGGUAACGGCUUACCAAGGCAACGAUGCAUAGCCGACCUGAGAGGGUGAUCGGCCACACUGGAACUGAGACACGGUCCAGACUCCUACGGGAGGCAGCAGUAGGGAAUCUUCCGCAAUGGGCGAAAGCCUGACGGAGCAACGCCGCGUGAGUGAUGAAGGUCUUCGGAUCGUAAAACUCUGUUAUUAGGGAAGAACAUAUGUGUAAGUAACUGUGCACAUCUUGACGGUACCUAAUCAGAAAGCCACGGCUAACUACGUG
rnacentral:rRNA from 1 species